UUCCAGUGAAAACUCAGGGCGUGAUGGAGAA
rnacentral:piRNA from 1 species